AUAUCUUGACAAACAAAAUCAUGAUCAGUACAAAGGAGAGCCAUGACUGGUGUACCCUGUUUGCCAUCAGCCAAACCUGCUACAGUUUCCAGAACCAGCAGCAUGUCAUCACAUCAGAUAAGACUUCUGGGGUCAAACUGCUAAUGUGCAUGUCAGGGUCUGACUGCAGAGAUGCUGAGCAAGGAGCUUUUCUCUGUGCAGAUUCAAAGGCUUGUUCGCAAAAGGGUGCAUUCCUCCUACAGAACCAUCUCUCCUGUCUCAGCCACCACACAAUCACCUGUGCCAAAAACAACUGAAGAAAAACAAACAGCAGAUCUGCUAAAAGUCCACUAUGUACUAGGCUUUCUAGGCAAGGCCUUCUAACAAAGCAUUUUUUGUUCUCUGUUCCUACAGCUUCUAGCACAUGACCAGGGCUGUAAAUUACUCUCGAGUACCAGUAAUAAAUCCCAUCUCUGCUUCUCUCAGAGUUAAACGCAGCCAGCUUUGAAACUGGUAUGCCCAUGCAGAUCCAGGCAAGGUUCUCCUUUAUUCGGGAAGGAAGGAUGACUUGUACAGGCAGUGGUUUUGGGUAGCAUGAGGAUGGCUUUGCUCAUGUCCUCCAGGAGAGGCAGAGCGAUGCUCCUGGUGGGAGCUGGGGCCUUGGGUUGGCUCCCUGCUCUCAGAGGGUCUGCUCAAGGGGAGAAUGCAGCUUUGUGCCAUUGAGGCCAGCACCACAGCUAGUUAAAGCAGAUGAACUGCAGUGAUUGUGUUUGGCUGAGUCAAGGGGGUGUUCUGCAUGCUCUGGUGCUGAUGGGUCUCAGGAUUUAAUCAGAAGCUUGGCAAUAUUUGUUAUUGUGGUGGCUCAAGGAAUAAUUCAAAUCAAAAACGUUGAUCCCUAUGCAUCCUAAAUCUGACUGGGAAGAAUCUCAGCUUUAUUUUAGCAACUCACAUUUUAAUGUGCCAUAAUAACAGUUACAAAUAAUGAAACUGAGCUCCUAGAAAAUAAGGUAGAAGAACAAGAAAUGGCUGUGAAUUCUCCCGCUCUGAAGCUAAGGAAAGUGCAGUAAAAAGCUGAGAAAAGGUGCAGACAAGCCAUGCCCCCACUGUACAAGAGCCGUCAGCGGCUGCAGAAAAUGACAUCUGGCCUGGGAUAAUCUGCCUGCGCACACAAUGGCUUUAUGCGAGGGAAAUGCCACUGAUCUCAGAGGACUUGUUCCAGAUUUAGCUCCAGGAUCAGGAGAGUGGCUGCAGCUCAGCCUCGCCGGGGGCAGCUGCUCCAGGCUGUCUGUCCCGAAGCCUCGAGCAUCCUCCGGGCUGGCUCUGGGUUUCACGGAGCAGGGCAGCCUGCUGGCAUCGUGCCUUGUGCUGCACUGAGCUGGAGGGGGGCAGGACAGGACCUUGUGUUGGCUGAAUGAACCGUCUCCUUCCCAGAGCAGAAAUCUGGCCUGCUCCAGCUUCUUGACACGUCCCAGCCUGGUGCUGAUGGCCAAAAUAUUACCAGUGGUUUUGCACUAAACAGCACUGAACAGACUUUGCACUAAAUGUCCUGCUUGACAGUUGUGAAAGAUCUUCCUAGGAAUCGGCUUCCUCUUCUUGCUACGUGAACAUCACUUUCAACGUUAUUAAAAGUUGUACCAAAAAUAAUUUAUCCUUUAAAAACAGAAAGAACAGGAAUCUAUUUGUGUUUAGUCAGUGGCUAAUUGUUUUCCUUAUUUUGUUGCAUGGUUGUUCAUGGUAGUAAGGAUUUCAACGUAAAAUGUAGCAAGUUGUUAAAUCAAUGUGCUUUGAAAGAAAUUUUAAAAAGCAUUUUCACUGCCUGAACUGUAUCUUUUUGCAUAUAUCCAAAUAUUUCAAUUGUUAGAAGGAUUAAUAUGACAAUGUAAGGGCUUUCUGGUCUUAGGUAUUGCCUUGCUUUUAAAUCAGUGUCCCAAUAACAAGACAUUUAACAUCAACAGGUAGUCUGUGUUAAAUUCAGGAAGAAUAGGAGACUCAAGACUCUUUUGCUUUAUUUAUAUAGCAUCCAAAUCCAGAUUUUUAAAAACUCUGGUGUUAUAUUACCUAUCCAAGGAUGUACUUACACAGUAAAGGCAUCUUGGCCAAGGUGCUUGGGAAUAGCUGUUCCUGGCAAAGGAAUCAAGCUUGAGCCCUGAGCCUUGAGGACUCUUGCAUAGCCAGGGCAUGCAGAUGGGCACAAUGCUCCCUUCCAGGCCUUGCUUUGCUUGGAUAAGCAGCUAAACUCUUACACUCUCCUUUCUACACCUUUGCCUAUGAUUUCACUUCUCUUGUUCUUGGGUGACCAUAACAUCACAUGACAUCCCAAAUUCAGUAGUGAUACGAGCACUCCAUUAUCCCCACUGAAAAUACCA